rfam:Schistosoma rodhaini strain Burundi genome assembly, scaffold: SROB_scaffold0005225
ACACUGCUGAGGAGUCCCACAAUAGGACGAAAUGGCCUUCCAGUGC